AUACGAGGGGUGCAAGCGUUAAUCGGAAUUACUGGGCGUAAAGCGUUCGUAGGCGGUUUGUUAAGCAAGAUGUGAAAGCCCAGGGCUCAACCUUGGAACUGCAAUUUGAACUGGCAAACUAGAGUACUGUAGAGGGUGGUGGAAUUUCCAGUGUAGCGGUGAAAUGCGUAGAGAUUGGAAGGAACAUCAGUGGCGAAGGCGGCCACCUGGACAGAUACUGACGCUGAGGAACGAAAGCGUGGGGAGCGAACAGGAUUAGAUACCCUAGUAGUCC
rnacentral:rRNA from 1 species